rnacentral:lncRNA from 1 species
CCGUCUGCAAUUUUUUCUUUGGUUCACCAUUUUCGAUUCUUUAAAAAAUUAUUUCAUUUACUUUAAAAAUCUAAUAUGAUAUCAGAGCUUUAAAUGAAUCUUGAGGGAUUGUAGGGAAGGUUUCUUGAAUGUUGUUUUCUUGUUUUUCUUUGGUUUCAAACUUUCUAGUUUUAGCUAUUGUUCUAAUGGCUUCUUUAAGCUUGAGUGCUAUUGCUCUUCUUGUUUUCUCAGGGCAAAAUUAUCAGAUAUGGGCGAUUAAGAUGGAGGCUUAUCUAAGAGCCUAUGACCUAUGCGAGAUCAUUGAUGUUAGAGGUAAUCCCCUUGUUUGAAGAGUAAUUAAUCCAACUAUUGCUCAAUUGAAACAACUUUUCAGUUCUUCAUUCUAUAAUUUUAGAUUCUAUAUUUACUAGAAUCAUGAAUUGCAAAUCACCUAAGGAAACUUGGGAUAAGAUAAAAGAAGAAUUUUAUGGGAAUGAUAGGACUAGAUAACUUCAAGUUUUGAAACUUUGGAAAGAGUUUGAGAUUUUCUAAAUAAGUGAUUAUGAAACUCUUCAAGAUUGCUCAAACAAGGUUCACAAGAUUGUGAAUUGUUUAAGGUUGCUUAUUGAAAAUUUAUUUAAGAAGAGGAUAGUGAACAAGUUUUUAGUAAGUCCUCAAGAGAAAUAUGAAUCCAAAGUCUUAUCUCUAGAAGACUUUAAAGACUUCGGUUCAAUUUUAAUGAAUGAGCUUGUGAAUGCUUUAUAGGUCAAGAAUAGAUAAGGGCAUUGAGGUAAGAUGGUUAUGUUGAGGGUGCUUUGGUGGUUAGGAAUGUAGAUAAACAUUCUAGUAGUGGGAACAAUAAGAAGUUUGGGAAUGAAAGAAAAGAUAAAGGAAAGAAAAACAGUGAGAAGAAGUAGGGUAAUCAAAAAGGAACUUUUCCACCUUGCUCAUGCUACAAGAAGACCAAUCAUACUAAAAAGUUUUGUUGGUAUAGGGCACAUGUAAAAUCUAGAGCUUGUAACCACCAAGGUCGUGUAGAGAAAGUUUGUAAGAAUCGAAGUGGUAAGGUGGAGGAAAAGGCUGUUGUUGCUGAGCAAAAGGACCAAGCUGAAGAAGAGGUUCUAUUUAUGGAAAAGAAGGUAGAAAAUGAUGAAAAAAAGGACACUUGGUUACUAGAUAGUAGAUGCUUGAACCACUUGACUGACGACAAAGAAAACUUUCUUGUAUUUGAUGGUAGGUCCAGGACUUUUAAUGAAGAUUGGUAAUGGUGACUUCUUACUGAUUUAUGGGGUUUGCACAGUGGGAGUUUAAACAUUUGAUGGUUUGAAAUCAAUCUUAAAAGUAUACUAUGCACUAGAGGUAAAUUAGAAUUUUUUGAGUAUGGGAGAGUUUUUGGAUGAUAACUAUGAGUUAACAUUUAAAAACAAGGCCUGUAAGAUACAAUAUCCUAUUGGAAAAGAGUUAUUCACAGUAAAAAUGAAAAACAAGUGUUUCCCUUUUAACUGGUUAAAGGUUAAUUAUGUUGCUUAUAAGUGUAUCUCCACUGACAAUGAACUUCGACAAAAGAGAUAUAGUCAUGUAAACCAUUCUUAUCUAAAACAGAUGGCUUUACAUAAUUUGGUUGAUGGUCUUCCUGAAAUUUCAAAGUCUGAUCAUGUAUGCAACACCUUUCAGUUUGGGAAACAAAGCAGAACAAUAAUUCCUAAAACAAGAAGGUGGAAGCAUCAUAGAAAUUAGACCUAGUUCAUACAGACAUUGGUGGCCCCAUGAAAACCUUGUCUUUAAAUAGAAGUAAGUUUCACUUACUAUUUGUUAAUGAUUUAACACGUUUUAGUUGGAUUUAUUUUCUUAAACAUAAAUCUGAAGCAUUCAAUUCUUUUGUCAAGUAUAAAGCUCUUGUUGAAAAUCAAGCCAGCUUAACUAUUAAGCUUUUAAAGAGUAACAAUGGAAUUGAAUACAAUGUUAAGGAGUUUGAGAAGUGUUUGAGUCAAUUCGGUAUUGUUCAUCAAGAUACUGUGACUUAUAGUCCCCAUCAGAAUGGGGUUUCAGAAAGAAAAAAUAGAAUAGUAACAGAAAUGGCCUGUUGCUUGUUUGAAAUGAGCUUACCAAAUUUCCUGUGGGUAGAAGCUACUGAUAUUACCAAUUAUCUUCUAAAUCUAACUCAAACUAAAGCUCUUACAAACAAGACCUCAUAUGAAGCAUGAUUUGGUAUUAAACCUUCAGUAUCUCAUUUAAGAGUUUUUGGUUUUAUCUGCUAUACAAAGAUACUUAAUGCCAAGAGAAACAAACUUGAUGAAAAGUCACUGGUUGCAAUUCUUCUUGGCUACAGUGAAGUCUCUAAGGGAUAUAGUGUUAGUAUAAGCCCUACAAGCCAAUUUGUGGUUGUAUAGGAAUUGUAAUUUUGAGAUAUUCAUGUAUGACAUUUUGUUAUUCAUAAUAACAUUGAGGUGGUUCUUUAUCCAUAAGUUUGUAAUUUAAUUACUUUUUGGUACUUAUGUAGAUAAAGCCCAUGGAACUAUAUAUGCCUUGCAAAAGAAUUAUAUUGGGAUACAAUUAUGAGAUCCUUAUGCAUUAAAGCAUUAUUCAUAAAAGUUCCUGAUCAUUGUAUUAUUGAGACAAGGCAUCAAUAAUGCUCAAAGAUUGACACAUGUUAUGUUCCUUACUUGUGAAGUAAACAAUCGUUCUCAUAGGUUAAAGUAUAGAGAUACUUGGAACUAGCAUGUGGGUGCUUGCCAUGGGAGAGAGAGUUCACUGAACAUGACCCGCCAUGAGAAGUGCAUUUGGUAUUUCACUCAAGUGUCUAUGCAAUAUGUGAGACCUUGACCUUUAUAGACUCGUAAAAGGAAGUAUACGCGAUAUCCCUAAUCAGGGGUAAUUUCGUCAUUUCCUUACCAAACCCAUAAAAGUAAGUUUUAAACAAUAUUAAGGCCUAAGUAAGCCUAAGGCAUAAAUGAAUGAUGCAAAUAUGGGUAAAAUGACAAGGAAACAAAAAUUUUGAUGAUUUUCACAACAGGGGCAAAAUGGUCAUUAUUCACCUCGGGUGAGAAAUUUAAGUUUUCAUGAACCCGAGCAUGUCUAGACCAUUAUGAACCUUGUUCAGUGUCAAAAGAACAAAAAUAAUGCAUAAAAGAUUGGAGGAGAAUAAGUUAAUUUGUGGAGGGGUAAUUUGGUAAUUUCAAGGGAAUGGAUAAGCUUGGGCUAUAAAUAUCUUCUCCUUCCAGCAGCUUCUUGAAUUUUCAGCAGCUUGUCUUCUUCUUCUUCUUCCAUGUCACGUUGCUUCCAACCUCCAUGGAAGCUUGAUAUGGAGCUUGCAUAAUUUUCUCUCUCUAGCUUUAAUUUUCAUACCUUUGUGCCCUUUUGACUAUAACCCUUGUAUUCUUUCACUCUCUCACUUAAAGACCCUUGAUAAAUCUUAUUUUCAUACUUUCUCUCACUAGUUGGGCAUUUUAGAGAGAGAAAAAGAGAAUUACACCAUUUGUUUGGAAGCUAUUGGAAGAGAAUUCAACAACAAAGAAACCCUAGGGUGAGUGAUGAACUAAGCUUGAUUUUUAGUUGUGAAUAAUGGCUAGUAAUUAGGAUUAUGAGCUGUUUUAUUGUUAAGUAUGUUCAUUCAUUUUAUAGUGAUUAAGAUAGUGAACAUAGAUAGCCAUUUAAAGUGACAAUUGAAAGCUAGUUGAGAGAUAGCUUUUAGGGUUUAUAGUAUGUGAAUUAACAUAAUGGUGAUCUUAAUAUUAUGGUAGGUUUCAAGGAAGCCCCAUCAUCCCAUUUGGACGAUUAGGGGAAUUGAAGUCAUCUAAAGGCUCAACAAUAUACCGAUAAGUGGACUGCCUAUCAAAAUUAUUUUAAGAAUAUGACCAUUUUGUACAAAGCAUUUGAAUGAUUCUAUACAACUUUUGUUAAAACAAUGCCUUGAGAACAAG